CAAGAAGAGCGGUACCCACCAGUGGGACCAGCCACCAGCUCUAUUCGCGACUGCACAACGCCCUGCCGUGGGGAGCGGAAGGCGGGGAGCCGGCGCCAUCGAUGACGUCACGCGCAGCGGCCCUGAACCCAAGGCUUCUGCCCAGCGGGCCACCCCCGGCCGCGGACCUCCGGGAGAAAGCCGGACGUGGCCGUGCGUGCGCUGCCAGGAACCCAGGCUAACUCAAAAGAGUAGCCUGAAUCUUGCUCUGAUGAUUGCCCCAGGUGUCAUGGGUGUGGGAAGAGGAUUGUGAAUUAUUUCAAGGAGGAAGAAGUUUCUCUGGAAUUCACGAUGAGUUGAUGCCAAGUUGAUCCAAAGAUGAGAACCACGCUAACAAGCCUGCGACACCCCAUUCCAGUCCUCAAGAGCAACACUGGUGA